UACGUAGGGGGCGAGCGUUGUCCGGAUUUAUUGGGCGUAAAGAGCUCGUAGGCGGUUGGGUAAGUCGGGUGUGAAAACUCAGGGCUCAACUCUGAGACGCCACUCGAUACUGCUCUGACUCGAGUCCGGUAGGGGAGCGUGGAAUUCCCGGUGUAGCGGUGAAAUGCGCAGAUAUCGGGAGGAACACCAGUGGCGAAGGCGGCGCUCUGGGCCGGAACUGACGCUGAGACACGAAAGCGUGGGUAGCAAACAGG
rnacentral:rRNA from 1 species